CGGCGCACCGGCAGGUUCAGGCCCAUGCCGAUCGCGUCGGUGGCGAUCAGGAUGUGCGACUCGCCCUGCGCGAA
rnacentral:tRNA from 2 species